rfam:Candidatus Buchananbacteria bacterium RBG_13_36_9 RBG_13_scaffold_2804, whole genome shotgun sequence.
CGAAAUUCCUUGUCGGGUGAGUUCCGACCUGCACGAAUGGCAUAACGACUUGACGACUGUCUUAACAAGGGACUCGGUGAAAUUGCAAGAGGAGUGAAGAUGCUCUUUUCCCGUAGCUGGACGAAAAGACCCCGUGAAGCUUUACUACAACUUGAUAUUGGAUUAGGGCUAGACAUGUUCAGCAUAGGUGGGAGCUUCGGCGCCAAUGAGAUACCACCCUUGCCUAAUCUUAAUUCUAAUCUUAUUCCGUGAAUCCGGAGUAGGAGACAGUAUCUGGUGGGUAGUUUAACUGGGGCGGUUGCCUCCCAAAAUGUAACGGAGGCGUUCACCAAGGUCAGCUAAGUUCCGAUGGAAACGGAACUGAUAGUGUAAAGGCAAAAGCUGGCUUUACUGCGAUUCCUACAAGAAGAGCAGUUGCGAAAGCAGGACUUAGUGAUCCGACCGUACGAAAUAGGACGGCGGAAGCUCAACGGAUAAAAGCUACUCCGGGGAUAACAGGCUAGUCUGGUCCAAGCGUCCACAGCGACGACCAGGUUCGGCACCUCGAUGUCGGCUCAUCGCAUCCUGGAGCUGUACAAGGUUCCAAGGGUUUGGCUGUUCGCCAAUUAAAGCGGUACGUGAGCUGGGUUCAGAACGUAAUUUACAUUGCGUUUUAUCACAGAAAUGUGAUAUAAUAGUACUGACUCAUAACGGUGAAACCCUACUAAACUUUACCGAACGUUUAGAGGGCAAUACCGUGGGAAGGUCAGUUUAUGUCAAUAAUUUUAGCCACAACAAAAUCAUAUAUUGCUGGUUUUUUAGAUGGUGAUGGCUGUAUAAUGUUUCAGUUGAUAUAUAGAAAAGAUUAUAAAUACGGCUAUCAAAUAAGAGCAAGUAUUGUCUUUUAUCAAAAGACAAGCCCGACUAGUUUAAAACAUUUGCAAUGGUUGCAGAAUGUAUUUUCUGUCGGUUAUAUUCGCCAUCGUAAUGAUGAUAUGACUGAAUAUACAAUUGUAGGCAUAGAACCAGUUAUCAGGAUUUUAAAAUUAUUGAAGCCUUAUGUAAAAUUAAAAGAGCAGCAUAUAAUUUUAGCUUUAAAAAUUCAUUCUUUAUUAAAAUUAAAGAAAAAAAAUAUAGCUAAAUUUAUUGAAGCGGCUGAAUUAACUGAUAAAUUUGCUAGCUUGAAUUAUUCUAAGAAAAGAACAAAUACUUCAGCAAAUUUAAAAAAUUAUUUAAGGCAACAUAAACUGUACCCCCGUAACGACUGAUUUCAAUUAACUUUAGAGAGUUAAAAUGAAUGAGAUAGGCAUUACUGAUUUUGGCAGCGAGUUUGCUUAUCAAACGUCAGCCCCUCGCCAAGUUGUAUGGCAGGGUGAAGGUAUAGUCUGUGCCAUUAGUAAUAAUGGAAAAAACAUGCGUGAGACAGUUCGGUCUCCUAUCUACUACGGGCGUCGAAACUUGAGGGGUCCCUUUUCUAGUACGAGAGGACCGAAAAGGACGAACCUCUGGUGUGCCAGUUGUCCUGCCAAGGGCACCGCUGGGUAGCCAAGUUCGGUUUAGAUAAACGCUGAAAGCAUCUAAGCGUGAAGCUGUCCCCAAGAUUAGGUUUCUUAGGAUCCUGGGAGAUUACCAGGUUGAUAGGCGCUAGGUAUAAGAUUGGCAACAAUUUUAGCCGAGGCGUACUAAUAUUCCAUUUGUUUAACCAC